UUGAGAAAGAGAAAGAAAAGGAGGAGAAAAGAAAAGAGAAAAAUGAAGGAAAAAAGGGGGAGAGGAAGAAAACUUGAGUUCCAUUAUUCAAUUCUUCAUUUCUCAAAGAGGAGAAGAGAUUAAUGGGAAGAGUAUGAUUUUAAGCCGGCCUUUUUGAUUAAUGAAAGAUUUUUAUAUCAAGGUGGUGACAAAAAAAUUGGAAAAGUUUACCGACCGGCCUUGUCUGUAGCUCGUAUUGUACAGUAGCUGUGUUGAGUCGCAUCGGAGCCUGUUGAAUUACCGAAUUGAGCCACUUAGCUGUUAUUUGUAUGUUUCUUUUUAUCAAUUUUUAUAGUUCAUAAAUUUUGGGGUAGAUGCAUCUUUUGUUAGUUUAUAUCACGGGCUCACUGCAUUAUUUUGUAUAAAUAAUACAUUUGGAGUCCUUUGGUUUGUAAAGAAGUGUAAAUUCCAUUCCAACGCAUUUUAUUUUGAAUAGUUGUGUUUGUAAGGGCUGAUGUACCUUGUUUUAAAUUAUAUGUAUUGA